UACGUAGGGGGCAAGCGUUGUCCGGAAUCAUUGGGCGUAAAGAGCGUGUAGGCGGUUCGGUAAGUCGGCUGUGAAAGUCCAGGGCUCAACCCUGGGAUGCCGGUCGAUACUGCCGGACUAGAGUUCGGAAGAGGCGAGUGGAAUUCCCGGUGUAGCGGUGAAAUGCGCAGAUAUCGGGAGGAACACCUAUGGCGAAGGCAGCUCGCUGGGACGGUACUGACGCUGGAGGCGACGGAAAGCGUGGGGAGCGAACAGG
rnacentral:rRNA from 1 species